rnacentral:rRNA from 1 species
UACGUAGGGUGCAAGCGUUAAUCGGAAUUACUGGGCGUAAAGCGUGCGCAGGCGGUUGUGCAAGACAGAUGUGAAAUCCCCGGGCUCAACCUGGGAAUUGCAUUUGUGACUGCACGGCUAGAGUGUGUCAGAGGGGGGUAGAAUUCCACGUGUAGCAGUGAAAUGCGUAGAUAUGUGGAGGAACACCGAUGGCGAAGGCAGCCCCCCUGGGUCAAAACUGACGCUCAUGCACGAAAGCGUGGGGAGCAAACAGG